AUGACCUUCACCAUCAUCUUCAUCUCGACACUUUUAUUCUCGUUACAAGGGUGUAAAUCACAGAUCACAAUAACUCAAAGUCCUUCAGUGAAAACUGCAGCACCAGGAGACUCUGUUACUCUUAGAUGUUCUUCAUCACGUGAAAUUUCUGCAAGCUGUUACCCACCCUGUCUGUCCUGGUACUUACAGAAACCUGGAGAAGCUCCUAAACUCCUGAUAUAUGCUACAAAACACCUUCAGUCUGGAACUCCAUCAAGAUUCAGUGGCAGUGGAACAAACACAGAUUUUACUCUGAGAAUCAGUGAAGUUCAGACUGAAGAUGAAGGAGAUUAUUACUGUAUGGGUAGACACUAUGAACUGUUCACACAGUGA